rnacentral:lncRNA from 1 species
AUUGGCUCGGGGUGAGUGUUCUAAACAGGAAGGUCUUAGUGUCAUUGUAUUGGCUCGGGGUGAGGGUUCUAAACAGGAAGGUCUUUGUGUCAUUGUAUUGGCUCGGGGUGAGGGUUCUAAACAGGAAGGUCUUAGUGUCAUUGUAUUGGCUCGGGGUGAGUGUUCUAAACAGGAAGGUCUUAGUAUCAUUGUAUUGGCUCGGGGUGAGGGUUCUAAGCAGGAAGGUCUUUGUAUCAUUGUAUUGGCUCGGGGUGAGGGUUCUAAACAGGAAGGUCUUUGUGUCAUUGUAUUGGCUUGGGGUGAGGGUUCUAAACAGGAAGGUCUUUGUAUCAUUGUAUUGGCUCGGGGUGAGGGUUCUAAACAGGAAGGUCUUUGUGUCAUUGUAUUGGCUUGGGGUGAGGGUUCUAAACAGGAAGGUCUUUGUAUCAUUGUAUUGGCUCGGGGUGAGGGUUCUAAACAGGAAGGUCUUAGUGUCAUUGUAUUGGCUCGGGGUGAGUGUUCUAAACAGGAAGGUCUUUGUAUCAUUGUAUUGGCUCGGGGUGAGUGUUCUAAACAGGAAGGUCUUAGUGUCAUUGUAUUGGCUCGGGGUGAGGGUUCUAAACAGGAAGGUCUUUGUGUCAUUGUAUUGGCUCGGGGUGAGGGUUCUAAACAGGAAG